rnacentral:rRNA from 1 species
UACGUAGGGGGCUAGCGUUGUCCGGAUUUAUUGGGCGUAAAGCGCGUGUAGGCGGCUUUGCAAGUCGGGUGUGAAAGCCCUCAGCUCAACUGAGGAAGUGCGCCCGAAACUGCAGAGCUUGAGUACCGGAGAGGAUGGUGGAAUUCCCCAAGUAGAGGUGAAAUUCGUAGAUAUGGGGAGGAACACCGGUGGCGAAGGCGACCAUCUGGACGGAUACUGACGCUGAGACGCGAAAGCGUGGGUAGCAAACAGG